rnacentral:lncRNA from 1 species
CGCCCUCGCCCUGGCCGCCGACGUCGUCGGGGUUGGGGCAGUAGUUGCGGGUGGCGUAGAGGCGGUAGGGGCUGGCGUCGCGGGCGAGCCACUGCUCGACGGUGAACUGCUGCUGGCUGCAGCCCAUGUGGGGGCCGGUGGUGGUGACCUCGACGUAGUUACAGUACCAGCCGUGGUGGGGGCCGGAGCCGUCGGAGGUGAGGUUCAUCCAGCACGGCGGCCAGGAGGUUAUGCAGGGCCCGCGGCCGCUGAAGAUGUCGAGGUUGCCGCGCUCGUAGUAGUCGUAGUUGGCGCCCAUGAGGCCGCCCCAGCUCUCCAGGUCCUCGAUCAGCACCCCGACGCCGUCCGACCCCGCCAACGCCAGGCUGAUCACCGAGUCCGUCCCCGCCUUCCAGAUCGACCCCGUCCGUAUGUAGAUAGUGUACACGCACUUGUACUCGUCGUCCUUCCCGGCAACCGCGACCUGUUCGACGAAAUAACAAAGACAAAUAUGAGCCACCAACAACAACAGGAUCUAGGAUGGAUAGCGUGGUGCAUCAAAGGCAUACCUUGACCAGGGAAGGUCUGGUGGCGUGGGAGAUGGUGGCCAAACAGGAGAAGAGGAGGAGGAGGAGGAUGGUCAUCAAGACAUUGUUGACUCCGCCGUUGGCCAUGUUUGCCUCCGCUUUCUCGCGCUAUGGGGGGGGUGGACGAGGAGAUUGGUUUAUAUGCUUACCUACCCUUGCAAAUGCACUGCAUCAAACAGGUCGUGGGCAAAAGGGAAAGGAUAUUCUCGGGAGAUGAGGAUUCUGGGUGUGAUAUGCCGUGGGUGCUAGAUAAGCUAAAGAUGUGGAGGGUGAGGGAAAGCAGAGUUUCUCUUCAGGACCAUAGUGUGCCUGUUUAAUUAAUCCUAACCUAAUUAGUUAUAUAGGUAAAUUUAGUUCAUAUAUUUUUUUACAUGAACACAGCUCAAACAAUAUAAAAGAUUUUUUAGAUUCACCUAAGCAAUUAAUGAAAUUUUUUAUGUUAAAUUGCUUAAAAUUUUAAAUCAAUGAUUAGUCCGAACCAAAUGGAUCAAAAUUAAUAUACAUAAGAUAAGAAAUUAAUUUAGUCUAAAAAUUUAAGCUUAUUAAGUUGGUCUGAUUCCUUCAAAUCCUAGUAAUAUAAGAUUAUUAUUAAUUAUAUUUUUAAUUUUUACCUCGUACAUGAAUAUUUCUUAUGGCAUGUCAAUACUUCGCUUGCAAUUAGUAUAUAAUAUUUAUAUAUGUUCAGUAUGCAAAGUUAGAAGUAAUCAAAAGCAAAUUGAUCUACACGCAUUAAUUACAAAUAUCAUAUAUAGAUAGGAUGCACUAGAAAUAAAUUUCUAAAAUAUUUUUAGCGCAGGUGUUAUAGUUUUGCCUAAGAUGAUUGGGGAUGUUCGACGUGUACUUCCCAAAGUAGUGUCGAGUUCUCGACAUCUUCCCUCCUACAUAAAGGCGUUCAUCGAUAGGGACUCUCGAUAAAGUUCUUUCAGUUACAAAAUCUCAAGGUAUUUUAGAAUAUAACAAGGAUAGACUCUUGUCUCAAGCGUAAUAAUCACGUAUUCUUUUUAUAUUCAAAUCAAAAUUAUCUCUAAAUUAAAAAAAAAGGAGAAUAAUUUUUUUAUACUACAUCCAAAACAUUGAUUAUCAAAUAUACCUACCAAAAAUUAAGAAUUUAAAACCUUAUCAAUAAAUAUUUUUUGGAAGAUAUUAAUUACUUUAGCCAGUAAAGCCCUUGAUUAUUGAUAUCAAGGGAUUAUGGUAAGAUUUACCACUCAAAAUUGUACUAAUUUUUCAUUCCAUCCAAACCCACACAAAAGCCAAUUAUAUUAGUGUUAACAAACUCUCAAACCGUGGUCGAGGUGUUAGCACGGCUCGGUUCGACCCCCUGAUGCGUAGGAUCAUCCGUGCGGUUGGUCAUUGGAUGGCGGCCUUUGUCGAUUCGGGCUGAGCUUGAGGCUUAUCCCCAUAUGCGGUACUCCAUACUGGCAUGUGGUUUUCUUUAUAGUUAGGCUCCUGCACAUAGGCCGAGGUCGAAAGGGUGGUUUCUCGACUUGAUCCCUUUGAAGGUUAGUUAGUAUCGAGCAAAGUUCAGGGGAAUGUCUGUCCUCCCCUCCCUGACAUCGAUUAGUGAGCUUUUAUACCUUCGAGCAAGGGUCAGUCGUACGUGAUCUGAUGAUGAAGAUCAGUUUGUACUUUUGUGUAAGCACUGACUGACCUGCACGGAUCUACACCACGCGGUGUCGUUUUGAGCUUUCUGGAACGACUUUGUACUGUACGACAUUAUCUCAUACGACUUCGAAUGGCAUGGGAAGGGGGCCGCCCUCGUAAGUUCGAGGUGCUACGUGGACACGAUGCUCCAUCUCAACCUUGAGGCUCCAUGUUCGCACUGACGUGUUUGCUGAUUAUGGCCACGGGGGCGAUAUCAAAAUAUGCCCUAUCACAGGUUAUCGUUUAGGACCAUUCUUAGAUAUAUGAGUUUCUCUAUCUACUCAAUUAUCUUUAGGACAUAGUUCUGAACUAGUGUCUCCUUAAUCAUCAUAGCACGGAAGAUGCUCUUCGAUAUCUCAUAUCGUUGAGUCCUUCCCUGUUCCUCAAAUAGUUUACGGACAUGUAGGAGAAUGGAUCUAGCAACCAUCUUUUUAUGUUGUCUCUGUAACUCAGGAGUCAUGGAGCCCAACAUGUAACACCGAGCAAAAGUGAAGUCAUCUAUGUACUUUACAUAGCGAGUGAUCUCAUCCUCGCUUGUCCCUUCCUCGGGCAUAUGCAUCACUAUAUCAAGGACGUAUGCGAUUUUCUCCAUCGUAAGAAUAAUUCUCAAGUUGCAGAUUCAAUCCGUAUAAUUCAGACUAGUGAGGUGGUUGACAUCAAGUAUGCCACGUAAGGGAUUUGAAAACGAUAUUUUCUAAAAAUAAAAAUAUAGCAGAAAUAAAUAAUAUGCAGAUUUCAUAAUAAAAUAAACAAAUAAGAUAUUGACUUCUAUCUGAAUCUACUCCCAUUGUUUUUUCUAACGAGUCAUGCGACACCCUCAGCAUAUGAAACAUAAGUCUUCGACAGACUUUUAGUGCAGAUCGAGAUCCAAUUAGCAUCUUAGUGUAACCUCGAGUGACUCGACCAAUCACAUUAAGCUCAAAAGGUAGGCAACUCUUACUGCUCACAACUCCUUGUGAUUCUUGUCCUGUUCAGCCUCCGAACUACCAUGGUCUUGAGAGACUCGACCAACCAUGAUGUUUGGUUAAGUUAACACCAUUGUUACAAGAUGAGUCUAAUUCGAUGAUAUACCUUCGAGGGACUCGACCAAUCAUGAUGUUUGGUUAAGUCAACACCAUUGUUACAAGAUGAGUCUAAUUCGAUGAUAUACCAUCGAGGGACUUGACCAAGUAUACCAAAUCCUUAGGUCAUCGGUGACAUCUCUAUGCCAUAGGCAAGAUAGUGAAUCACGAUAUAGGUGAGCCUCGAGAAUUGAUCCCUACCUAAAACGAUGGAAGGCAACAUGGGUCAAUCUAAUUGCCUCACAUUUACCGAUUUAAUAUUAUUGAGAAAGGGGAUUUUGAUUUGGUCUCCUAAUAUAACAUGUCACAUACAUACAUAUUUAAUAUAUAUCUACAUCGUAUGCAAAUAUAUAUAUACAUAUCUAGUAGGUGUAUAAGCAAUUACACAUCACAUGAGCAAUCACACCAAAUCAUCAUGGACCAUAACCUAAUAUGAUCAAGCCUAAGCCAAUAGGCCUAAUCACUCACAUCAAGAUCUAUGUGUGCAGUGGUACAUCUCCAUGACUUGUGAUCGUCCAUUUCGUCCUCGUCGGUUCCGUCGGCAUCUCGGUGCAUCGCGAUCUCGUGGGUCCUGCUAUCGCUUCCACGCUCCUACUGCACCUCCUUAUAUGAUUAUAACUUAAUCAUAGGCACGCAGGUCUGAUAAUAAACAAGAAAUAAAGUGGUGGCUCAUAGGUCCCAAUAAUAAUAAUAAUCAUAAGUACACACAUCACACGGUCCAUGAUCAUCCAUCCACAUCAUACAUUACAUGUAAAUAUCAUUAUGUAGGACUACUAGAUAAUAUUAAUAGUUAAUUAAAUUUUUUAAUUAACUAAUAUUUUUUUGAAUUUAGGGACAUAUAGGAAUUUUUUUAAAUUAUGAUGGGUAUUUUUAUAAUUUGAACAAAAGGAUAGAAUUCAGAAUUUCUAAAAUUUCUAGGGGUAAAACUAUCUUUUGACCAAAAACCCUAACCCUCUUUCCCUAUUCUGCAUUGUGGCAGCCACUAUGCCGAGAGGAGGGGGCGCCCUUAUAGGUGGUUUUGCCCGCGGGCGGCUCUACUCGUGGGCGUAAUGUCGGUAGGCGCCACUAUCCCUAUAGGAAUCAUUGUCCAUGUGACUCCUCUGCUCGCGGGUGCAACACCCACAGGCGUCGCUACCCCCACGACUUCCUCUGAUCGCGGGCACAGCUCCCUCAAGCAUUGCUGACCUUAUGGCUGCCUACUUGCGGCCCGGAUGCUGCUAGCCGUAGGCGACCGACUACUGCCCGCUAGCCACCUGCGGUCAACUACUGCCCUCUAGCCACCUGCACGCAGGUGGCCAAGCCUCGGCCAAGGCUACAAGCAGCCAUUAGCUAACCUGCGAGGGCAGUAAUUGUUGCCCUCUCUCACCUUUUGUGUCAACGAUUUUGACGACAAAAGUCUUUCUAAAACACAAUACACGUAGUUCAAAACCAAUCUUUCGCAUAAACAACCUGACUCUAAUACCACUAUUGGGAAAUCUAGGGGCAAUAUCACAUAUGUAGCAGAAGAAUAGAAAAUAAAAAUUCCUAAAUUUCCAAAUGAUGUGUUUGCCGUCAUGCGAAGAUUGGUGCGCAAAAUCCACAAAACUGAAAUCUACGUAUAUGAAAGAUUAUGUAUUACCUAGGGAGAUCGUAUAUCCCUAAAUUCUUGUAGAUAUAUAGGAGAAGAUGAAGGAAGUCAAGCUUUCUCCUCUCUAGCGGUGAUUCACAUAGCACGACUUUGACAAGCUUCUAAAAUCUCUAGGCCUGCUAUCUAAGGAGGAGAAGGGGAGAGGAGAAGGAGAGAUGACAACCAAGAGAAGCUCUAGCCUUGCCUUUGGUUUCCUCCUAUUUAUAGAGGCCCUCUAUCAAUUUAACCAUAAUGGAUCUUGCUCUAUUAGAUACUGGAUCUUCAUCAAACUAUCCAAACCUCUUAGAUUAGUGGAUCUUUAUCCAAUAAUCUCUCAUUGGCUCUUAUUGGAUCUCAUCCAUAUGAUCCAAUAAUUUAGGAGCUUAUUAGAUAUCCAAUAAGAUAGGGGCUUUGGUGAAUAUCUCAUAUCCAAACCUCUACUCAUCGUAACGCCUACCAUAUGUAUAUGACUCUCUAGGCCUAAUAUCGACCUAAUUGUGAGUCAUACCUAUAAGAACUUCUUCUGGCUCAGUGAAUUAUUAUCUCUAUAAUAAUUCACUUGACUUAUCGAUUGUAAGCGUACUAGGCCACUACGUCAUAGUCCCUAGACGAUACAGGGGAAUCCAAUUCAUUGGACUUGUCUGUCCUCAGUUACCAUAUACCUAUAGUUAUGCAUCCAUCUAAUAUCCCAGAGAUUGUAUACCGGGCAUUGUGUUGUCAAACCCAUGCGAUUUCUACUCGAGUCUCGCUCUAAUCGGAUUCUCCUAAAGAACUCUUUCUCUCAAUCCGAAUAUUCAUGGCUAGGGAUUUUUCUGAGCAAGAACAUAUAAGAUAUUCCUCUCAUGAUACUAAGAGUGGAUGAUCCUCUAUCAACACUCAAUAGUCCUCGUAAGGUUGGCUGCCACUCUCGAUGACCGGUUGUGCUAGAUCUAAAAUUUUCAAACCUAUAAGUCCAGUAUCAAAGAGUGGAGUACUCAUACGAGAUAUCAUUGGUAUCUCAAGUCUAAGGACUAAGUACACCAUUGGGACAAUGAAAUGACUAUCUGAUAAUGAGGUACCAUUAACCAUUGAGCAUUCCGUGAGUGGAUCAAUCAGUGAACUCAUUCUCCAAUGAGCACCUGCACUAUAUCCCUAGUGUCUCCAUACGAGCAACUAUAAGAGUAGUCGCGUCUAUCAUAUGUAUAGGUAUAUAGUACACCAGUCUGUCCGAUUUUCUCGAUAUUUCUCUCGAGUAACCUAUGAUCGGGAUUAUUUAGGAUAUAUGUUUAAAGGAGAAUCAGUCUUAUUAUCGUGAUUUCAUCAUGAUCCAAUUUUCAUUGCACAGAUUCAUGGACAUCACAAUAUACAACAAGCAAUAUAAAGUGAUAAAAUACUAAAUAAUAAUAAUAGAUAAAAAGAUUACAUGUCAAGUCACACAUGCCAUACUCACGUGAUUAGCUUGUAGGGCACUUAUAACUAGUAGUACUGCCUCGGUCUCUAGGCUAAGCUGAACGAUGACUCCCCUAAGGCAAUCUUGGGAGUAGUCCGAGAUGCCCACAGAACGCUCAGGAGCUCCUUGACCUAAGCGCCGCAAGCCUUGACUAUCCUCUUCUUCAAGCCUUCCAGAAUUGCUUAGUUGGUGACCUUGGCCAAGCCAUUGGUUUAAGGGUGUGAAACCAAGCUGAAUUUCAAUCAUAUCCCGUAGUAUUGAUAGUAUGCUUUGAAUUUCGUGUUGUUAAAUUGAGCUCCGUUGUCAGUGACGAUGGCCCUCGGGAUCUCGAAUCAGGUGAUGAUGUUUUUCCAAACGAACCUCUUGACCUACUUCUCGAUGAUGGAGACCAACGACUGAGCCUUAACCCAUUUGGUGAGGAAUCUUCGUUGCCCCGAAGUAAGGGGAAAAGGUCUGAGGAGGUCCAUACCCCAUUAGGCGAAAGGCCAAGUGGUGUCUAUCGAGGUGAGAGAAACCGUGGGCUGAUGUUGUAUCCCGGCAUGCUUCUGGUAUUACUGACAUCGUUGUAUGUAUGACAAGGCAUCUCUGUGCAUGGUUGGCCAGUAAUACCCAUGUCUGAGAAUUUUGAAAGCCAAGGUUUAGCCACCGAUGUGUUCCCCACAGACAUCUUCAUAAACUUCAACAAGGAUUGUCUUGGCUUCAGGGGGCGCCAAGCAAAGAAUGAGAGAUUGGGAGAAGGCUCUUUGAUAUAGCUUGCCGUUGAUUUCAUAGUACCAUGCCUGGGUCUGUUUGAGUCGACGAGCGGUGGCUGGGUCAUCGGGCAACGUUCCUGUUGGGAAAUCUAGGGGCGACAUCACAUGCAUAACGGAUGAACAGAAAACAAAAAUCCUAAAUUUCCCAAAAGGUGUUCAUUGUCGUACAAAAAUUGGUGCAUAAAAUCUAUAACAUAGAAAACCACAUGUGAGAUAGUUGUGUUACCUAGCAAGAUCAUAUAUCCUUGAAUCCCUACAGAUCUGUAGGAGUGAAUGAAGGAGAUCAAGCGUACUCCUCUCUAGCGGUGAUUCAUAUAGCAGGGUUGCAACGAUGCUUUUCAAAUCUCUAGGCCUACUAUCUGAGGAGUAGAAGGAGAGAGGAGAAGAGAAGGUGGCUACUAAGAAGCCCCAACCUAUGGUCCUUUAGUUCCCUCGUAUUUAUAUAGGCCCCCAGUUAACCCUAAUGGAUCUUGCCUUCUUGGGUAUUGGAUCUCCAUCCAAUUACCCAAGCCUAUUUGAUUAGUGGGUCUCUACCCAAUAAUAUAUUAUUAGCUCUUAUUGGAUCUCAUCCAUGGAAUCUAAUAAUUCAGGGGCUUAUUGGAUAUCCAAUAAGAUAGGGGCUC